CGGAAGCGGCCGCACCUGCCCCACCGCAGGGCCGGGGGCUCGGCCGGGCUCCGGAGGAGCGGUGCCGGGUCCCGACGUCUCCGGGCUCUGCGGGGAAUGAAGGCGGCGAGGCGAUGAAAGCUGUGAGGCGAGACAAUGGGGCUACAAACUUCUAUGGCUACUGUUCUGGAAAAGGCAGAAGACGCAAAUCACUUUACCACAGGCUAUGUUUUUACGAAUAUAAAGACAUAGGAAGUUCUUGAAAGAUUAUCAAACCAAAAAAGAAUCGCAGUAAAUGUUUCGUUCUGCGCCUUCGCAGCGAGGCUCCUGUGCUGAAGUGGGAUUAGCCUGUAAAUAGUUGCUUUGGUUCUUUUGGGGUUGUUUUUUUUAUGUUUAUUUGGUUUUGUUUUUUGUUUUUGGAGUGGGGAGAGAGCACAAAUCCCAACAAAGCUUGUAUUGAUGCUGCCUCUGAUCGGGCGCUUUCACAAACCUGAAAUCACCUCUUUCCAGCCUUGUGAUGGGUCAUGAGAAGCAUCAGAUCUGAACACUCAGGAGCUGAUUGCAGGUCCUAAAAUAACUGGGAGAUCAGCCAUGGCUUGUCUUGGUUUCCAGUUCGAUAUGACUCUGUCCUGUCUUUGACACUAACAGUAGCAAUAAGGGGGGCGAUUUCCCCCAUUUAGGCUUUUCUGUGAAUCAUAAAGUCACUGUUUAAAUAGACAGAUGAUCUUCAUUUCCUUCCAAGAAGAGCAUGAUAAUUCAGUGCGGGAGAGAGGCAGGCAGAUAGAUUCUUUGUUCAUAUGCGAAGCAGCCUGGCUGUUUGGCAUCUAGCUUCUGCCAUUUCUUGGUGAUAAUUCUGUGCUUUAUACUAUUUUAUAAAGAAAAAAAAGUAUGUACAUUUAGCAUGUUCGGCAUAAUUUAGUGUAGCAGUGUUUCCAUUCUAGUUUCCAAGUUUGUCACUGAAAGCACUGGCUGCUUUCAAUCUAACACAGCACUGGCUUCCUGUGUGUUAUCUCUUUUAGCUUAAUUUUUGCUCUUCCGUCUCCCACAGCUCUGUGACUGACAAGAAAGCCAGUAGAUGUUGGAAUGCCGUGCUUCAGCCCCGAAAAAUUUCUAUCAGAGGUUUUAAAAUAGAAAUAGUUGCCUCUCUCUCUGUUCAUCUUUCAGAUCAUGCGUGCUCUUGUCAUUUUCAAAGAGCACUUUGAUUAAAAAUAACUUGAUUAGCUGAUAAAAUUAAAUACACUUUGCAAGAAGAGCAUUAGCCUCAAACAUCCUGGCUGUUAAUGAGCACUGCGCUUGCACGUAUUGUCACUUACAGACUUCAGCCAAAAGGAAGUCCGUGGUUAAUGACAGCUUCAGAAGCCUAAAGAAGCUGGCAAGCUGGGACAGCAGUUUUCUCUAUUUCUUUUUGCCUUUUUUGAAGGCUCUUUGUCAUCAGGUGUUUCAACGUGUACAGUACCACAUGCCUCGCCUAUGGUCCUCAUAGCUCGUGGUUAAGAAGGAGCAUUUCUGAGAGUAGCGGGAUGGCUGGUGGCAAAAGGAGCCUGACGGGUUGCCUCUGCCUGCGCAGGAGGGCUCGCAGCAGUGGAAUUUCCCCCAAAGAGGAACAGAGAGGAAGAGCCUCUAGAAGGUCAGCAAUAUCGCAGGAGUUUUGAGGGACUCGGUGGAGAUCUAGAGGAGAUGAUGGAAGUGGAGGUCAGACAAAAGGAGCAGCAGAAAGGCGAGGAGACUUUAGCCAAGGGGCUGGGGAGCAGCCUGCAUAGAAGGGGGAAGCUACGAGACCCCAGAGGUGGCUGCAGAGGUUGGUGCUCCAAGUCAGGGGACCAGCAGCCUGCGUGGAGAAGGGUGGCAGGGGUGCCCUACUCCCUUCUCUCUUCCAAAUUUCUCCAGUUAGUACCAGCUGAGAACUGGCAAAGUCAUAAAUGCUGCUCAGUGCCACCCAGCAAGAUGCCAGGCACAGCACGUGAGCUGGGGAAGUGCCUGCAGCCUGCAGCCUGCUUUUGGGCUAAGGGAUGCUUAAUAGCAUGGUUCAGCAAAAACAAACCAGCCUUCGGCCUGACAGGCACCCAGCAAGGCUGAAAGAACCAUAGUCAUUCCAUUUCCACUUCCAGAUUUUAAAGAUUAACCUAUUAUUAAUACAGUACACUGUAAGUGUCAGAGUGGGGAUUUCCUGUGGACUUAGCUUGCCUUUCUGGUUUUCCAUAGCACAGCUUUACCAAGAAUGGGAGAUAAGGGUUUUGAAAUGUCAAAAUAAAAAAGCUUUUUUUAAAAAAAAAAUCAUAUCAUGGUCCAUUUCAUGUAAUCGGUGAUUUUCUGAGCUCCUCUAACUUCCUCUAAGAAAGGAAGAUAAUGUCCUCAUUGAAAGUAAUAGAAGAUGCUACUCUGGAAAUUCAGAUCAAUCAGUGAAGUAGCGAUGAAAGGAGAAAACAUACAUUCCACACUAAAACUCAAUGUUAAUGUAACCUGAGUAUUUCCAAGCUAUGCCAAGGGUGACUCUAUUUUGAAGUAUUUAAGGCUUCUCACUGCAGAGUAUGCUCUAUUAUCCCCUUAACAGUGACGGAGUAAGCAAUAGGCUUGUGAUGCACGAAUAGCCAGCACCUCCUGAAAGCCUCCCCGAGCCUGACAAUUCACAGUAGCUGCUGAACAAGGAUUAUUCCAACAGGAAUGUGUUCACUCUCCCAGUUUCAAGUUCAAGAAGUGCCUCAGCACUAAGACGGGUGUGAUAUAACAGUUUUUAAUGGCAGAAACCACGAAUCUUUUUUCUGUUUUCUCUCAUUGCCGCAGACAUGCUGUUGCAGGAUUAAAGAUGCUGAUUAAGAAUAACAGCAAGCUUUCGCAACUCAACAAGUUAAGCCAUUGUGUCUGUAUAAUUAGGGAACUAAAUCUUUUGCAGUUCAGUCAAGCAAAGAAAUUAACUAGAAAAUUUGAAACCUAUUUUUAACAGGGGAUUUUUUUUUUUUUCAAAAAUCCCUCUGACAGCCAUUGCCACAAACUACGUGCAGGUCUCCUGUGCCUUCAUAACUCAACACUUGCAUGCACAGAAUAUAAUCUUUGGGCUGAGAAGCUGUCUGCGUUUUUAGUCAUUUUAGUCUUACAUGCAAAUUCGUACUUGCAUGUGUAAAUGAAAAUGCUGAGGACUCAAUCACCACACCUGCUGUAUAUAUUUGUCCCUACGGCUUUCUAAAGAUUACUUUGUAAAUUCGUAAUUUCUGAUGUGAAUAAUUUCCAGGAGACAUUACUAUCCAUUAUGGGAGAAAGACAAAUGCUGUAAUGUAUAAUUCACUUGAAAUCUAUUCCUGUAUAUUCUUGUGCCAGAGGAUCUAACUUUUAUGAGGAAAAUGUUAACAGGCAAAAGGUGGUGAUUCUGGGAAACUCCUUGGUUGCUGUGACCUGUGGAGACUAGUCCAGUUUCCUGGCUGUCAUUACUGGCUGUUCCUGAGGAAGUCUCUCCUGGUUUUGUUGUGUUGAUUGGGGUUUCCCAAUUUGAAGGGCAGUCAGCAGUCUGUAUUUUUUUUUCCAGCUGCCUAAUGAAUGCAACAUUUAAAACUCGCUGUUAUUCCUUUGGGUCUUCACUGCAAGCUGUACAAAAUUUGGGCAUCAUAGCAUAACUAUGCUAUGCUAGACCUCACACACAUACAGAUGCGUGCAGACUCACAUAUGUCUGAGAAUCGCUGCAACAAACAAUUGCAUUAACAUGCACAUCAGCUGUCACGAAUAUUUUGCUCCUGCAUCACGCUCAGUCUCACACAUUUGUAGUUCUCAGAGGUAAGAGGUAUUGUUUUGUGAAACUGCAGAAUGAGGACAGGAUACAGCUGUCUCACAGCCUCAGGACAGGCAUCUGGUAACUGCACACUGCGUUGUCAGGACUGAGCUCAGGUGGGAGUAAGGAGUAAAGGAUGCCUUAGGUAUCAGCACCCUGGCAGAAAAAAAAAAAAGAAAAGUAAUGGGGACAAGUGGGUGAACAUAAGAAAACCACACGGUAAAAGGUCAUUACAGGAUAUGGUAGCUGCUUUACAAAUGAGAGAUAACUAAUGUUCUAACUGAACAACAACAAAAAUUACAUGCAGUUGCAGAGCUUCUGUGGAAAUUAACUUGAACCAUUCAGCUCAGGCAGAAAGUGAUAAAUUCAGCCUGAAAGCUUCAAGCUGGUCUCAGCAUAGUUUCUGCAAUGUUCCUUUUGUUCUUUGCCCAGGAGAAAUUCCUGCCCGUUCUGCCUGUCGCCUUUGGGUGAUAUAUACUAUUCUCUGCCCAGGCAGGCUUCCUGCAUCAUGUAUUAGCUGCUGGGCUUGGGUGUAUGGAGAGGAGCACGUAGGUAUUACUGGCAGUAGGACUGAAUGGGUCAAAUAGGCUGCUCCAUCUUGCUGUCCAUGACAUUCAUCAGCUGAGCAGAUAUUAAAGUUCCCCAUACUUCUGCUUUGCAUGCAAGAAAUUUUCUCCUAGUCUUUGCUGCAUUUUUGUUAGUUUUGUUUUUAUCCUGCCUUCAGUGUCUUCAGUCCUCUUGCCUACAGGGGUUUUCUUGAUCCUGCUGCUGGACGGCCCAGCCACCCAGCCUCCAAGGAAGAGCACUGUCCCACCUGCUACCAAGGCAGGGAGCUACCGUGGGCUUCUCACAUUUGUUUUGAUACUGGGGUGAAGUGGAAGGAAGCCCCUGUUUUACAUCUUGUUUUGACAAAUUGCCAUAUUUUGUGGUUUUAAUGUUCUUUUUCUUUUUUGGUGUGUGUGCGAUUUCCCCUUCAACCUGCUGUUAAGACACACCUCCUGAAAAUACUGUAAGACUACUGGUAAAACAGAAAGUUUUACAAUUUUUUCAAAUAUUUUAAGUCUUUGAAAUUGUUGCCACAGCUACCUCCAUCUGAGUUGUGACCUGUUUUUCAAGCAGGAUGCCUUCGAUCCUGACCUUCCCCGCAGAUGGCCCAGGCCUAGGCCGAAGUGGGGUCCUGGGCCCUGGGCAGGGUGCGGGGAGCCCUGAGGGGCUGGGCAGGGACAGUGAGAUAUGUGGGUGCCCUCAGGGGCCUGGCACCUGGUAACUGAUGUUUUUCUGUGCUCUUGGCUUUCAUUUCUGUCAAAAGUCACUGUGAGGGAUGUGCAGGAUAGCCACCUACAUCGGGGCUGACUCACUGCUACAAGGCCCAGGCUCUCCCGCCUGUACUCGCUAAAAGAAUAGAAACACAUUAGUGGGUUUUGUCUUGUAAGGGCUAAUGUACAAUAGGUGUAUAUAUUCUCCUCAUCGCCCCAAAGUAAGCAUAACACCAGCAUCACAAGGAUGUAUCUCCUCCGCUUGGUCUCCUUGAUAGACCAACAGCUGCUUUGCAGGAGGGAGGUGGCCUCUUGGGUACUGGGACUGACUCAAGUAACUUCUCUGCCACAAAAAGUUGUACCUGCCUCUAAACCAAGCAACUCUAGAUAGCUAAACAGCCUCUUUACACUUCAGUUAUUUUGGGGUUUUAUCUACUUUGUCAUGGUGAAAAGGCUUCUGAAUAGAUUUUACUCAAACUCACAGUUGGUGACUUGAAAUAAAGGAGUUUCUUAGCUAUGGUAUCACCUCACCUCUUGAGCAACCCAGCCAUAGCAGACUUUUGCUUGAUGAGCACUGAGGACCUCAUUUGAGGCUCUGGUUGGAGCCAUCUUCUGAGGGACACCUCCUGAAUACACAGAGCAGGGCAGGAGAACAUGGGUGCCUUCCACCUGUCUAGGUCCCUGGCAUCUUACUGAUGGUCAUCAAGGGUAUCAGUCUGUCCAAUCAUGCCCAGUGCUUUGGGAAACUUUAACCUCUGUUCCCUUAUUCUUGAUCUAUUUUGUUUGUUGCUCUUAUGACUCUUUUUUCUCUAAUUCACAGCUUCAACUCUCUCCAUCCACAAGUACCUUGGUUUUGAUGUAUCUCACCUUAUGGAACUGACAAAAAGGCUUUGUAUAAUGAUAAUAUAAAUGUAUAAUGAUAAUCUAAAUCAAUACUUUUCCGUACUUUGGUUUUACUGACUUCAAGGGUCCAGAUGAUGCCUAGGGGUUGCUCAGGGAUUGCUCAGUGCCAUCCCUCUUCCCCUGGGGAAGUCUGGCAGUUACCCUGCAAGGAAGUCAAAUGUGUCAGUCUGCUUAAAUAUUUUGUCUGGGAUCUAAGAUGUCUUGUGUCUAUUUACUUGGUUAACUUAUCAUUAUCCUGCGGGAGACUUGAAAAAAUGGUGUAUCUCUUUAAACAGCUCCUGUAAAAACAAUUGAAGUAAUUAAAAUUAUCUGUGUUUGUGUUGCGA